UAACAGGAUUCCCCUAGUAACUGCGAGUGAAGCGGGAAAAGCUCAAAUUUAAAAUCUGGCGGUUUUACCGUCCGAGUUGUAAUCUGGAGAAGUGUUUUCCGUGUUGGACCGUGUACAAGUCUCUUGGAAUAGAGCGUCAUAGAGGGUGAGAAUCCCGUCCAUGACACGGACUACCAAUGCUUUGUGAUACACUUUCUAAGAGUCGAGUUGUUUGGGAAUGCAGCUCAAAAUGGGUGGUAAAUUCCAUCUAAAGCUAAAUAUUGGCGAGAGACCGAUAGCGAACAAGUACCGUGAGGGAAAGAUGAAAAGCACUUUGGAAAGAGAGUUAAACAGUACGUGAAAUUGUUGAAAGGGAAACGCUUGAAGUCAGUCGCGUCUUACUGGACUCAGCCUUGCUUCGGCAUGGUGUACUUCCUGUAGGACGGGUCAACAUCAAUUUUGGUCGGUGGAGAAAGGUCUUGGGAAUGUAGCAUUCUUUCGGGGAUGUGUUAUAGCUCUUGACUGUAUACAUCGACUGGGAUUGAGGACCGCAGCACGCCUUUAUUGGCCGGGGUUCGCCCACGUAACGUGCUUAGGAUGUUGACAUAAUGGCUUUAAUCGACCCGUCUUGAAACACGGACCAAGGAGUCUAACAUGCCUGCGAGUAUUAGGGUGGAAAACCCUUAUGCAUAAUGAAAGUGAAAGUUGGGAUCCCUCGCAAGGGGGUGCACCGACGCCCGGCCCUGAAGUUCUCUGACGGUGCUGCGGUAGAGCAUGUAUGUUGGGACCCGAAAGAUGGUGAACUAUGCCUGAAUAGGGCGAAGCCAGAGGAAACUCUGGUGGAGGCUCGUAGCGAUUCUGACGUGCAAAUCGAUCGUCAAAUUUGGG
rnacentral:rRNA from 1 species